AUUGAACGCUGGCGGCAUGCUUUACACAUGCAAGUCGAACGGCAGCGCGGGGCAACCUGGCGGCGAGUGGCGAACGGGUGAGUAAUAUAUCGGAACGUACCCAGAAGUGGGGGAUAACGUAGCGAAAGUUACGCUAAUACCGCAUACGAUCUACGGAUGAAAGUAGGGGACCGCAAGGCCUUAUGCUUUUGGAGCGGCCGAUAUCUGAUUAGCUAGUUGGUGGGGUAAAGGCUCACCAAGGCGACGAUCAGUAGCUGGUCUGAGAGGACGACCAGCCACACUGGAACUGAGACACGGUCCAGACUCCUACGGGAGGCAGCAGUGGGGAAUUUUGGACAAUGGGCGCAAGCCUGAUCCAGCAAUGCCGCGUGAGUGAAGAAGGCCUUCGGGUUGUAAAGCUCUUUUGUCAGGGAAGAAACGGUAGAGGCUAAUAUCCUUUGCUAAUGACGGUACCUGAAGAAUAAGCACCGGCUAACUACGUG
rnacentral:rRNA from 1 species